UGGGGGAUAUUGCACAAUGGGCGAAAGCCUGAUGCAGCGACGCCGCGUGGGGGAUGAAGGCCUUCGGGUUGUAAACUUCUUUUGCUCUGAACAAGGCAUGCUAAUGGGUGUGUUGAGUGUAGGGGUUGAUUAGCGCCGGCUAACUACGUGCCAGCAGCCGCGGUAAUACGUAGGGCGCGAGCGUUGUCCGGAAUUAUUGGGCGUAAAGGGCUUGUAGGUGGCUGGUUGCGUCUGUCGUGAAAGCUCAUGGCUUAACUGUGGGUUUGCGGUGGGUACGGGCUGGCUUGAGUGCAGUAGGGGAGGGUGGAAUGCCUGGUGUAGCGGUGGAAUGCGCAGAUAUCAGGAGGAAUACCGGUGGCGAAGGCGGGUCUCUGGGCUGUUACUGACACUGAGGAGCGAAAGCAUGGGGAGCGAACAGG
rnacentral:rRNA from 1 species